CGCCUGGCCACACCCCCACCUGCCCAAGCCAGAGCCCCCAUCAGAGGUCGUGGGCUGCAGCCCGGCUUAGGCCGUGAGCAGGGGACUCCUCCCUAAAAUGGGGCCACCAGCUCCUCAACGAGGACAAGGCACAGCCCAGGCAGCUGAGCAAGCCGGUGAGCACACCAGGUGAGCAGCCGUUUAGGGGGCCCUGGUGGAUCGAGGGCCCUGGAGAGCCACGAGCUUUCCCUCAGACGGUGGAGUGCGGCGCGUCAAGUUUCCCCCAAAGGGAGAGCUGCCACUUCCGAUGAGAAGCUGACAUAUCACCGGGGACCCGCCCGCUGCUGUUGAAUACAGAGUCUUCUGUUUGCAAAGAGAAGCUCUAGGGCCCUCCUUCCUUGUGGUGGUUGUGUCUGAGUUGAAAACCCUCCGAAUGGGACUGUCAGGCUCCAGUCACAAGGCCUCCGUGGUCAGGUGGUUCACUGGGACAAGAGCUCGUUGUAAGCUAAUUUUGCUUUUUGAAAACAAGGGGUGAACCUAGUAGUCGUGUCAGAGAGUCAGUGAAUCCACCACCCCAAGGGGCACAUCUGGGCAGAGGCUGUUUUCUUUCUCUGGAGUUUCCAGAUAACGGGAUCGUCAGCCACAGGGACUUGUCGUUCAAAGGGAUCACAGGGCUGUGAGGCCCCAGCGGGAGAGAGAGUGGCCUGUGGCUCACGGGGCGGCAGCUGGAAUAGCCUGUUGGUUCAGGCCCUGACGUAAGCAGGCUGAUUUGUGG
rnacentral:lncRNA from 10 species